GCCCACGUAGACCAAAGGCAGAGUCAGGAGACUUAAAAUCUCUGUAGUGCGAGUUCGAAUCUCGCCGUGGGCACCA
rnacentral:tRNA from 1 species